GACGAACGCUGGCGGCGUGCUUAACACAUGCAAGUCGAACGGAAAGGCCCUGCUUUUGUGGGGUGCUCGAGUGGCGAACGGGUGAGUAACACGUGAGUAACCUGCCCUUGACUUUGGGAUAACUUCAGGAAACUGGGGCUAAUACCGGAUAGGAGCUCCGCUGCAUGGUGGGGGUUGGAAAGUUUCGGCGGUUGGGGAUGGACUCGCGGCUUAUCAGCUUGUUGGUGGGGUAGUGGCUUACCAAGGCUUUGACGGGUAGCCGGCCUGAGAGGGUGACCGGCCACAUUGGGACUGAGAUACGGCCCAGACUCCUACGGGAGGCAGCAGUGGGGAAUAUUGCACAAUGGGCGGAAGCCUGAUGCAGCAACGCCGCGUGCGGGAUGACGGCCUUCGGGUUGUAAACCGCUUUCGCCUGUGACGAAGCGUGAGUGACGGUAAUGGGUAAAGAAGCACCGGCUAACUACGUG
rnacentral:rRNA from 1 species